UACAGAGGGGGCAAGCGUUGUUCGGAAUUACUGGGCGUAAAGGGCGCGUAGGCGGCCUGCUAAGUCGAACGUGAAAUCCCCGGGCUCAACCCGGGAACUGCGUCCGAUACUGGCAGGCUUGAAUCCGGGAGAGGGAUGCGGAAUUCCAGGUGUAGCGGUGAAAUGCGUAGAUAUCUGGAGGAACACCAAUGGCGAAGGCAGCUCGCUGGGACGUGACUGACGCUGAGACGCGAAAGCGUGGGGAGCAAACAGG
rnacentral:rRNA from 1 species